GCAUCCAUGGCUGAAUGGUUAAAGCGCCCAACUCAUAAUUGGCGAAUUUGUGGGUUCGAUUCCUGUUGGAUGAA
rfam:Cephalotus follicularis DNA, scaffold: scaffold3535, isolate: St1.